UGAGGAAUAUUGGGCAAUGCCCGCAAGGGUGACCCAGCAACGCCGCGUGGAGGAUGAAUGUCGUAAGAUUGUAAACUCCUGUUAGAGGGGAAGAAUAGUACCGGUUGGACCGGUAUAUGACUGUACCCUCAGAGAAAGCCCCGGCUAACUACGUGCCAGCAGCCGCGGUAAUACGUAGGGGGCAAGCGUUGUCCGGAUUUACUGGGUGUAAAGGGCGCGCAGGCGGGAUAAAAAGUCAGUGGUGAAAUCCUACAGCUUAACUGUAGAACUGCCUUUGAUACUUUUAUUCUUGAGUUCGGGAGAGAGAGACGGAAUUCCAGGUGUAGUGGUGAAAUACGUAGAUAUCUGGAAGAACACCAGUUGCGAAGGCGGUCUCUUGGUCCGACACUGACGCUGAAGCGCGAAAGCGUGGGGAGCAAACA
rnacentral:rRNA from 1 species